GAUGAACGCUGGCGGCGUGCCUAAUACAUGCAAGUCGAGCGAACAGAUAAGGAGCUUGCUCCUUUGACGUUAGCGGCUGACGGGUGAGUAACACGUGGGUAACCUACCUAUAAGACUGGAAUAACUCCGGGAAACCGGGGCUAAUGCCGGAUAACAUUUAGAACCGCAUGGUUCUAAAGUGAAAGAUGGUUUUGCUAUCACUUAUAGAUGGACCCGCGCCGUAUUAGCUAGUUGGUAAGGUAACGGCUUACCAAGGCAACGAUACGUAGCCGACCUGAGAGGGUGAUCGGCCACACUGGAACUGAGACACGGUCCAGACUCCUACGGGAGGCAGCAGUAGGGAAUCUUCCGCAAUGGGCGAAAGCCUGACGGAGCAACGCCGCGUGAGUGAUGAAGGUCUUCGGAUCGUAAAACUCUGUUAUUAGGGAAGAACAAAUGUGUAAGUAACUGUGCACGUCUUGACGGUACCUAAUCAGAAAGCCACGGCUAACUACGUG
rnacentral:rRNA from 1 species